UACGGAGGGGGCUAGCGUUGUCCGGAAUCAUUGGGCGUAAAGCGCGCGUAGGUGGCCCGGUAAGUCCGCUCUGAAAGUCACAGGCUCAACCUGUGAAAGCGGGUGGAUACUGCCGGGCUAGAGUCCGGAAGAGGCGAGUGGAAUUCCUGGUGUAGCGGUGGAAUGCGCAGAUAUCAGGAAGAACACCAAUGGCGAAAGCAGCUCUCUGGGACGGUACUGACGCUGAGACGCGAAAGCGUGGGGAGCGAACAGG
rnacentral:rRNA from 1 species